ACACGUGAUUCAGAGUUUGAUCCUGGCUCAGGAUGAACGCUGGCGGCGUGCCUAACACAUGCAAGUCGAGCGGAGUUAACAGAAGAUUCUUCGGAUGAUUUUGUUAACUUAGCGGCGGAUGGGUGAGUAACACGUGGGUAAUCUGCCCUGCACAGGGGGAUAACAGCUGGAAACGGCUGUUAAUACCGCAUAUGCACACGUUAUCGCAUGAUAGAGUGUGGAAAGAUUUAUCGGUGCAGGAUGAGCCCGCGUCGGAUUAACUAGUUGGCAGGGUAACGGCCUACCAAGGUGAUGAUCCGUAGCCGGCCUGAGAGGGCGACCGGCCACAUUGGGACUGAGACACGGCCCAA
rnacentral:rRNA from 1 species